AAUGUUACUUUUGAAUCCAAUUGUGUUAAUUGCUAAUUAUGGAUCUAAAAUACGGGGCUAUAAAAUAAUAUCUGUUAUUUUUAAAUUUAAGAUUUCACAAUUUUCGGUUUGAAUAUUCUACUAUUUUUAAUAGUUUGAAAUCUUGCGUGACCAAAAUUAUUUUAUCACGAAAAGAAAGUAUAUUAUAUUAAAAAAACAAAUUAAAAACCACAUGUCAGUUGAAUCAAAUCAUAUAAAUGAAAGUUGGUCAGCUCUCCCCAUAUGAGUGACACAUCAUCACACCAAUGAGUGCCACAUGUCAUUCUAAAUUAAUAUCAUUAAAAAAUAACAAAACUUAGUGAUAAAAAAAAAAAGUUUCACAUUGCAUUGAAUCAUCCAUUAAUCCCAUUCUUAACUAAAUAUCUUCAUCAAAAAGAAAAAAUAUGAAAAAUCAUGUUAAUGUAUUAAACACUACUUUCAUUUUACUUUUUUAUUUUGCUAUUUUUUAAUAGUCAUUACUUGAUAACGACUAUAAAUUUUCGGGUAUUGCAACUUAGUUGUUUGCUAACUUUUAUUAGUUUAGAAUUUUAACUUAGUAUUU
rnacentral:sRNA from 1 species